AAUAAGAUACGAGACAUUAAAGAAAUAUGGUUUCUUAGGCAAACAUCAAUGGCUUUUUAAUAAAAGUAGACUAAAACAUGUCGGUUCUGACCCCUCGGUUAAGUGGUAAAAAAGAAAUUUUUAAAUUUAUUUUUUAUUUUGAAAAGAAGUAAAAAACAACCUAAACCUAAAUCUAAACCAUCAGGUUAGCCGCCAUCCUCUCAAUCUCAAUCUCAACUCUCAUACACUCAUCUCUCUCUCAUCCUCUCUGGUUCACCGGGAAAGAUCUCUCUCUCAAUGUUGCAGUCAUUUCCGGCUUUCUGCUUGAUCAUCUGAAAAGGCCGGAGAAUACAGGCACAAGGGGAAGUGCAAUGGUGCAGCACAUACAUCAAUUUCAUAUCCAGCCUCCGGAAGAGAGAGAAAAUCAAAGGGACACGAUGAGUCAUUAGUUUAUGUUCUUUUGAUAAUUAGUUAAAUACUUAAAUUAGUGGAGGUUAAGAUUAUAUUGAGCAUCAUCAAACUCAGAUAGUCAUAUACUUCAGUAUUUUUGAGAUGGAUAUAUAAUGUCUUAUUGUAUUUUCAAUUCAAUUACUUGGUA